UACGUAGGGGGCAAGCGUUGUCCGGAUUUAUUGGGCGUAAAGAGCGUGUAGGCGGCCAGGGAGGUCCGUUGUGAAAACUCGAGGCUCAACCUCGAGACGCCGAUGGAAACCCCCUGGCUAGAGUCCGGAAGAGGAGAAUGGAACUCCUAGUGUAGAGGUGGAAUUCGUAGAUAUUAGGAAGAACACCAGUGGCGAAGGCGGCUCACUGGUCCGGUACUGACGCUGAGGUGCGAAAGCGUGGGGAGCAAACAGG
rnacentral:rRNA from 1 species